GUAAUCAACACAGUCCCCAGAUAAGGACAUUGGUGCCUGGGAGUCUAUGAGAACCAUCGCCCCACCCUGACCUGAAGGGCCAGAACUGAAGCCCAAGAUCUCCAGUGAUCAGAAGCCCAUGAACAGGAGAGACGGUUCCAUGCAACAUAUGCAAAGCCAGAUGACUAUUGCUGUCAACUGCAUGGAGUGAUCAACCAGAUCUCCCCUUUUCAAUGGCACGGUAACUGAAGCAGGCCAGAGCCAGGGCUGCAGCGGACGAGUCUAGAAACACAAGGACUCUAAGACCAACCGCCAGGUUUCAGCGCUCACGCUCCACAUCUCCUAACCCUUCUUCCUCGCAUGGGACUGUCUCAUAAGCCACACGGAGACCGCACUGGUAUGCAGAAGUCCCUGACGUGAAAUUUUUCAUUUGGGGGGUUGAUAAAAAAAAAAGUAGUUGUCAAAAGAACA